CCCUUUGAUACUCUGGGCGGCACGCGCGCUACACUGGUUUAUAUAACGUGUAAUUUGGACGAUAGUCUGUAUAAAUCACUAAUAUAAAACCGUGAAUGGGAUAGUUUAUUGCAACUUACAAACUUUAACUAGGAAUCCCUUGUAGAAGUAGUGAAUUAUACUGCUUCGAAUACGUCCCUGCCGAUUGUACACACCGCCCGUCGUUUCUUCCGACUGGUACUCAUUGUGAAUUGCGAGGAGAUUCUGUCAAAUCGUUGUAAAUGCUGGGUAUUGGAGGAAGAAAAAGUCGUAAC
rnacentral:rRNA from 1 species